CAUUUUACUAGUGAUAACCUCGUGCUGAUUGCAUGUCCCCGUGACGACGACAACGCAUUCGGAUGUCUGCCUAUCAACUUUCAAUGCAAUUUUCCACGCCUACCAUGGUGACCACGGGUAACGGGGAAUAAGGGUUUGAUUCCAG